AUUGAACGCUGGCGGCAGGCCUAACACAUGCAUGUCGAGCGGUAGCACAGAGAAGCUUGCUUCUUGGGUGACGAGCGGCGGACGGGUGAGUAACGCGUGGGAAUCUACCUGGUAGUGGGGGACAACAGUCGGAAACGACUGCUAAUACCGCAUACGCCCUUCGGGGGAAAGUGGGGGAUCUUCGGACCUCACGCUAUCAGAUGAGCCCGCGUCGGAUUAGCUUGUUGGUGAGGUAAAGGCUCACCAAGGCGAUGAUCCGUAGCUGGUCUGAGAGGAUGACCAGCCACACUGGGACUGAGACACGGCCCAGACUCCUACGGGAGGCAGCAGUGGGGAAUAUUGGACAAUGGGGGCAACCCUGAUCCAGCCAUGCCGCGUGUGUGAAGAAGGCCUUCGGGUUGUAAAGCACUUUCAGCUGUGAGGAAAGGCGAGUGGUUAAUACCCGCUUGCUGUGACGUUAACAGCAGAAGAAGGACCGGCUAACUCCGUGCCAGCAGCCGCGGUAAUACGGAGGGUCCGAGCGUUAAUCGGAAUUACUGGGCGUAAAGCGCGCGUAGGUGGUUCAGUCAGUCAGAUGUGAAAGCCCCGGGCUCAACCUGGGAACUGCACCUGAUACUGCUGAGCUAGAGUACGGUAGA
rnacentral:rRNA from 1 species